rnacentral:rRNA from 1 species
GACGAACGCUGGCGGCGUGCUUAACACAUGCAAGUCGAACGGAAAGGCCCUGCUUUUGUGGGGUGCUCGAGUGGCGAACGGGUGAGUAACACGUGAGUAACCUGCCCUUGACUUUGGGAUAACUUCAGGAAACUGGGGCUAAUACCGGAUAGGAGCUCCUGCUGCAUGGUGGGGGUUGGAAAGUUUCGGCGGUUGGGGAUGGACUCGCGGCUUAUCAGCUUGUUGGUGGGGUAGUGGCUUACCAAGGCUUUGACGGGUAGCCGGCCUGAGAGGGUGAACGGCCACAUUGGGACUGAGAUACGGCCCAGACUCCUACGGGAGGCAGCAGUGGGGAAUAUUGCGCAAUGGGCGGAAGCCUGAUGCAGCAACGCCGCGUGCGGGAUGACGGCCUUCGGGUUGUAAACCGCUGUCGCCUGUGACGAAGCGUGAGUGACGGUAAUGGGUAAAGAAGCACCGGCUAACUACAUG